rnacentral:rRNA from 1 species
CUACGGGAGGCACCAGUGGGGAAUAUUGGACAAUGGGGGAAACCCUGAUCCAGCAAUGCCGCGUGUGUGAAGAAGGCCUGCGGGUUGUAAAGCACUUUCGGUUGGGAGGACUGCUUCUAGCACUAAUAUUGUUGGAAGUUGACGUUACCUUCAGAAGAAGCACCGGCUAACUCCGUGCCAGCAGCCGCGGUGAAUACGGAGGGUGCAAGCGUUAAUCGGAAUUACUGGGCGUAAAGCGCGCGUAGGCGGCUAGCUCAGUCGGGUGUGAAAGCCCCGGGCUUAACCUGGGAACUGCAUCCGAUACUGUCUAGCUUGAGUACAGGAGAGGAGAGUGGAAUUCCACAUGUAGCGGUGAAAUGCGUAGAUAUGUGGAGGAACACCAAUGGCGAAGGCAGCUCUCUGGCCUGAUACUGACGCUGAGGUGCGAAAGCGUGGGGAGCAAACAGGAUUAGAUACCCGAGUAGUC